rnacentral:rRNA from 1 species
UGGGGAAUUUUGCACAAUGGGGGAAACCCUGAUGCAGCGACGCCGCGUGAUUUAGGAGGCCUUCGGGUUGUAAAAAUCUUUUCUAUGGGAAGAAAAUGACAGUACCAUAGGAAUAAGGACCGGCUAAUUACGUGCCAGCAGCCGCGGUAAUACGUAAGGUCCGAGCGUUGUCCGGAAUCAUUGGGCGUAAAGGGUACGUAGGCGGGUAAGCAAGUUAGAAGUGAAAUCCUAUAGCUCAACUAUAGUAAGCUUUUAAAACUGCUCAUCUUGAGGUAUGGAAGGGAAAGUGGAAUUCCUAGUGUAGCGGUGAAAUGCGCAGAUAUUAGGAGGAAUACCGGUGGCGAAGGCGACUUUCUGGCCAUAACCUGACGCUGAGGUACGAAAGCGUGGGUAGCAAACAGG